AAGGCGUUAGUCCAAAAAGACAUCUGAUUUCGACUCAGAAGAUCUUGGUUUAAGUCCAAGACGCCUUC
rnacentral:tRNA from 1 species